rnacentral:misc_RNA from 1 species
GAUGAAGGAACGUAGCGAAAUGCGAUAAGUAAUGUGAAUUGCAGAAUUCAGUGAAUCAUCGAAUCUCUGAACGCAUCUUGCGCUCCUUGGUAUUCCGAGGAGCAUGCCUGUUUGAGUGUCAUUUAACUUCUCAACCACAUUGGAUAUUUUUUUUCCGAUGCCGGCUUGGAUGUGGGGUUGUUUGCAGGCUUUUUGUAACAAAAAAGGUCGGCUCCCCUGAAAUGUAUUAGUGGUAUCUGAGGCUAUUACUAUUAGGUGUGAUAAUUAUCUAUGCCUUUUGGGUAUGCCGCAUGAACAGAUUAUGCUGCUUCUAACGAAAACUAUUUUGAUGAAUUUGACCUCAAAUCAGGUAGGACUACCCGCUGAACUUAAGCAUAUCAAUAAGCGGAGGA